rnacentral:rRNA from 1 species
AUUGAACGCUGGCGGCAGGCCUAACACAUGCAAGUCGAGCGGAUGAGGGUAGCUUGCUAUCUGAUUCAGCGGCGGACGGGUGAGUAAUGCCUAGGAAUCUGCCUGGUAGUGGGGGACAACGUUUCGAAAGGAACGCUAAUAUCGCAUACGUCCUACGGGAGAAAGUGGGGGAUCUUCGGACCUCACGCUAUCAGAUGAGCCUAGGUACGAUUAGCUAGUUGGUGAGGUAAAGGCUCACCAAGGCGACGAUCGUUAACUGGUCUGAGAGGAUGAUCAGUCACACUGGAACUGAGACACGGUCCAGACUCCUACGGGAGGCAGCAGUGGGGAAUAUUGGACAAUGGGCGAAAGCCUGAUCCAGCCAUGCCGCGUGUGUGAAGAAGGUCUUCGGAUUGUAAAGCACUUUAAGUUGGGAGGAAGGGCAGUAAGUUAAUACCUUGCUGUUUUGACGUUACCGACAGAAUAAGCACCGGCUAACUUCGUGCCAGCAGCCGCCGUAACAC